rnacentral:rRNA from 1 species
AUUGAACGCUGGCGGCAUGCCUAACACAUGCAAGUCGAACGGCAACAUGGUCUAGCUUGCUAGACUGAUGGCGAGUGGCGAACGGGUGAGUAACGCGUAGGAAUAUGCCUUAAAGUGGGGGACAACUUGGGGAAACUCAAGCUAAUACCGCAUAAUCUCUGAGGAGAGAAGCUGGGGACUUUCGAGCCUGGCGCUUUAAGAUUAGCCUGCGUCCGAUUAGCUAGUUGGUAGGGUAAAGGCCUACCAAGGCGACGAUCGGUAGCUGGUCUGAGAGGAUGGCCAGCCACACUGGAACUGAGACACGGUCCAGACUCCUACGGGAGGCAGCAGUGGGGAAUAUUGGACAAUGGGGGCAACCCUGAUCCAGCAAUGCCGCGUGUGUGAAGAAGGCCUGAGGGUUGUAAAGCACUUUCAGUGGGGAGGAGGAUUGACAGGUUAAGAGCUGGUUAAUUGGACGUUACCCACAGAAGAAGCACCGGCUAACUCCGUGCCAGCAGCCGCCGUAACAC